GACGAACGCUGGCGGCGUGCCUAAUACAUGCAAGUAGAACGCAGUUGCGAACGGGUGAGUAACGCGUAGGUAACUGCCUGGUAGCGGGGGCUUACUAUUGGAAACGAUAGCUAAUACCGCUUACUACCAGAUGGACCUGCGUUGUAUUAGCUAGUUGGUGGGGUAACGGCUCACCAAGGCAACGAUACAUAGCCGACCUGUGAGGGUGAUCGGCCACACUGGGACUGAGACACGGCCCAGACUCCUUCGGGGGGCAGCAGUAGGGAAUCGUCGGCAAUUGACGGAAGUCUUACCGAGCAACGCCGCGUGAGUGAAGAAGGUUUUCGGAUCGUAAAGCUCUGUUGUAAGAAAAGCGGUAUCUUACCAGAAAGGGACGGCUAACUACGUGCCAGCAGCCGCGGUAAUAC
rnacentral:rRNA from 1 species